rnacentral:sRNA from 1 species
AACCCCAGCCGGAACUCCGGCCACAGCCAGCAUGCAGGGCGAAGAGAGCCUCCGGAUCCUGGUGGAGCCCGAAGGGGACAGCUUCCCGCUGAUGGAGAUCAGCACCUGUGAGACCGAGGCCUCCGAGCAGUGGGACUAUGUCCUCGUGGCCCAACGUCACACCCAGAGAGACCCCCGGCAGGCGCGGCAGCAACAGUUCCUGGAGGAGCUCAGGAGAAAGGGCUUCCACAUUAAGGUGAUCCGGGACCAGAAACAGGUCUUCUUUGGGAUCCGUGCUGACAACAGCGUCUUUGGCCUGUACCGCACUCUCCUCCUGGAGCCUGAGGGGCCUGCGCCCCACGCUGAGCUGGCCGCGCCGACCACCAUCCCGGUCACCACGAGUCUCAGAAUCCGAAUCGUGAACUUCGUUGUCAUGAACAACAAGACCUCGGCUGGUGAGACCUUCGAAGAUCUGAUGAAGGACGGGGUCUUCGAGGCCAGGUUCCCCCUGCACAAGGUGAGGGGUGAGCCGGCCUGGAGAGGGCCCUGGCGUGGGACCCUGGGAUGGGGGCUCUUACUCUCUGUCACCCGAGCCAGGGGGAGGGACACCUGAAGAAGACGUGGGCGCGGUGGAGACACAUGUUCCGGGAGCAGCCAGUUGAUGAAAUCAGGAACUACUUUGGGGAAAAGGUGGCCCUGUACUUCGUCUGGCUGGGCUGGUACACCUACAUGCUGGUGCCGGCCGCCCUGACGGGCCUCUUAGUCUUUCUGAGCGGAUUCUCGCUGUUUGAGGCCAGCCAGAUCAGCAAGGAGAUCUGUGAGGCCCACGACAUCCUCAUGUGUCCCCUCGGCGACCACAGCCGCAGGUACCAGCGGCUCUCGGAAACCUGCACUUUUGCCAAGCUCACCCACCUCUUUGACAAUGAUGGCACGGUGGUGUUCGCCAUCUUCAUGGCUCUCUGGGCCACGGUGUUCCUGGAGAUCUGGAAGCGGCAGCGCGCCCGCGUGGUCCUGCACUGGGACCUGUACGUGUGGGACGAGGAACAGGAGGAAAUGGCACUUCAGCUCAUUAACUGCCCCGACUACAAGCUCCGGCCAUACCAGCACUCCUACCUACGCAGCACCGUCAUCCUCGUCCUGACCCUGCUCAUGAUCUGCCUCAUGAUCGGCAUGGCCCACGUCCUGGUGGUCUACCGCGUCCUGGCCUCCGCGCUCUUCAGCAGCUCGGCCGUGUCCUUCCUGGAGGAGCGGGUGACCACGGCCGUGGUAGUGACCGGGGCUCUGGUGCACUAUGUGACCAUCGUCAUCAUGACCAAGGUGGGGCCGGGAGCAGGGCAGGCCCGAGCUGGGGGGUCCACCGGAGCCCCAGUGAGCCCAUUCGGUGCCCUCCUCCGCAGAUCAACAGGCGCGUGGCCCUGAAGCUUUGUGACUUCGAGAUGCCCAGGACCUUCUCGGAGCGAGAGAGCAGGUUCACCAUCCGCUUCUUCACGCUGCAGUUCUUCACCCAUUUCUCGUCUCUCAUCUACAUCGCCUUCAUCCUGGGCAGGAUCAACGGCCACCCCGGGAAGUCCACGCGCCUGGCGGGCUUGUGGAAGCUGGAAGAGUGCCACGCCAGCGGCUGCAUGAUGGACCUCUUCGUGCAGAUGGCCAUCAUCAUGGGCCUGAAGCAGACGCUCAGCAACUGCGUCGAGUACCUGGUCCCGUGGGUGACCCACAAGUGCCGCUCUCUGCGGGCCUCCGAGUCCGGGCACCUGCCCCGGGACCCCGAGCUCAGGGACUGGCGGCGCAACUACCUUCUGAACCCGGUCAACACCUUCAGCCUGUUCGACGAGUUCAUGGAGAUGAUGAUCCAGUACGGCUUCACCACCAUCUUCGUGGCUGCCUUCCCGCUGGCGCCGCUGCUCGCGCUCUUCAGCAACCUCGUGGAGAUCCGCCUGGACGCCAUCAAGAUGGUCUGGUUGCAGCGGCGCCUGGUGCCGCGCAAGGCCAAGGACAUCGGGACCUGGCUGCAGGUGCUGGAGACCAUCGGUGUGCUGGCGGUCAUUGCCAAUGGGAUGGUCAUUGCCUUCACAUCUGAGUUCAUCCCCCGAGUGGUCUACAAGUACCGCUAUAGCCCAUGCCUGAAAGAAGGCAACUCUACCGUCGACUGCCUCAAGGGCUACGUCAACCACAGCCUGUCCGUCUUCCACACCAAGGACUUCCAGGACCCUGAUGGGAUUGAGGGCUCAGAAAACGUGACUCUGUGCAGGUUUGGAACUCCCCAUCCCCCAAGAAUGCCCUCUGAACUCCUGACCCCUGACCUCAGGUACUUCCUUACCCCAGAUACAGGGACUACCGCAAUCCCCCCGAUUACAACUUCUCCGAGAAGUUCUGGUUCCUCCUGGCCAUCCGCCUGGCCUUCGUCAUCCUCUUUGAGCACGUGGCCUUGUGCAUCAAGCUCAUUGCCGCCUGGUUCGUGCCCGACAUCCCUCAGUCGGUGAAGAACAAGGUUCUGGAGGUGAAGUACCAGAGGCUGCGUGAGAAGAUGUGGCAUGGAAGGCAGAGGCUGGGCGGGGUGGGGGCAGGCUCUCGGCCCCCGAUGCCUGCCCAUCCCACCCCAGCAUCCAUCUUCAGUGCCAGGAGCACAGACGUGUAGGGCCAGAGCCCGUCCAGAGGCCACCAGGAGCUGACAGUGCCACCACCAGCACCUCCCACAAGCCCACCGCUGUGCGUGUUGAGGGGUGCCGUGAGAAGUCUGUGCCCAUGUGGGGCUGCAGGAGUCCCCUGUAUGUUCAGGGCUGUGAGCUGCCACCCUAUUCUGCCUGCUUCGUCU